AGCGGCCCAAGAUACCGUCCGGUGCUCCUUUUCAUCCUCCGCUGCUCGUUCCCCUCGCUGGCUCCCUCUGUCACCGUUACUUGGCCGGCCUGGGUGCGGCGGCCGCACCUCCGCUCUCUCUGCCUUCGGCAACCCCACCCCCACUUCGGUGGCCGACGGCGCCCGCCCCCCCGUCUCCCUGUUUCUUCCCUAGGCCACCGUCGGCCUCUGUCGUCGCUGCGCAGGUCGCUGUUCGUAUUCAGAUGCAGAUCCUCCGCUCGAUUCUUCCUCUCCUCCGACGCGCUGACGUUGCCACCUCUUCUCCCCCAAAGCACCGCCUCUUCUUCCCUUCGCGACCACUUCUCUCUUUCAAGGCCUCUACUCCGCCUCGUCCGGUGUCACCAUGAGGAGUUUUGCCUCCUAAUCCACCUGUCCGUCAUGUUUCCAGAUUUUCUCAUCGAUCUGGCAACAUGGCCAGCAUCAGUGGAGUAAAAGGCUGGGAUGCACAGGUGGCUCAUCCCCCCCUUGACGGUGUAGUUCCUAUGGAUAUAUUUCCCAAAAGCAGCCACCGUGAUGGUUCUAUAUAUAAGGGCAAGCAUGCAUGGAAAAAGGAGUAUCGUAUUGCUGACCGAAAUGAGACUUGGUUGGAGCCAAUGAUGUUGACAGAUCCCCCGAAUUGCUGCUUCCUUGAUGGAACUUGCAUACAGCAUGCACCUAGUGGCAUGUUCCAAGUUUUCUCAUUAAGGCUGGCUAACAUUCAUGUGGGUUGUGGGUCAGUAGAGUUGUACGGAUACAUAGCAGUGCGGGAUGAUUUGGAUCGAUUGCUUAAUUAUGUGGUCAAUGUUAAGAGGGAUGAUCCCAUCAUCCUGGAGCAGGGUUCUCUUAUCAACAUGGCUGGCCCUAAGCGAGGGAUAGAUUCACAUGGCAAUAUUGUAAUCGAAUAUGACAUGAGGAUCAAGACUGCUGAAGAAGAAAAGCAUGAUCUGCAGCUGAUCGAUGGUGCUUUAAUAAUAGUCAAUAAAGACUUCCAGAAUUGCCACGCAUUCACAAGUCGCAUAUAUGGCGAUUGCGGAGCAGUGGACAUGACUGCAUCACGUCUUGAAUAUGCAGUUGAGCGACACUAGAAGUUCUCAUAUCGGAAGUGCAAAAUAGUUUCAGUUUGUGUGUUGGUUGUUUUACCAGUGGGUUGAAUGAAGAAAUCCGGCUCUUCGAUGGCACCAUUGGUGAGUCAUGUGGCUUGAAGAGGUCUGUGGUUGCUGUAGUGAUAUCUUCUUGGAUGACAUUGAAGUUCAAGUUGGCACCGGGGUCAUCCAGUCCUGCUGAACAUCAUUGUUCCUUCAAGGCGAACAACCAUGGGACAUCUGCACAAAAAAUGAAGACUGAUUUUGCGUUAUUCUCAGUGAAGGUGACUUGGUCGACUUUGCCUCGGGGCUGUUAUGCUCAUUCCAGUUCAUCUGGACCUUAGAUCGACCUUGUCACAGAGUUGUGUCUGAUGAGCGGGCUAAGACUUACAAGUUUGGUUUGACGUAGUCUUAAGAUGGACUUGUGGCAACUAUCAAGCAAUCAAACACUUGACUAAUAUGACUGUCUAAAUUUAUAGUAUGUGGCAAACAAGGAUGGUAAAUCUAUAAUAGUAAUAAUAAGCAAAUAUUUGAACUGUUCACUUGCA
rnacentral:rRNA from 1 species